UGACGUGUCUCAAAUGUGAAGCUGAGGGGGGAAAAACAACACAACUCACCCAGUGCCACCUCGCAGGCUUUGCGCAGCUGGGAGUGAUGCGCCUUCUUCACCUCCUUGUCGGCCAGGAUCUUCUCCAGAGCGCGUUACCGUGGUCCAGCUGAAGUCAUAUCCGUCCACAUUGAAGACAGGCAUGAUGUAGAAGUUGAGCUGGUUGAGCAGGCGUCUCAUCCCAGAGUCGUACUGGACGUACACAUGUUCAUCUCAGAUCUUUUAAUGCACAAAUAAAGUGACUUAAUGCUCGGACCAGUGUGAAUGUUGCAGAUUGAAGAUCUGGUCUAAUACAGUUUAUACCUGCUCAGUAAUCAGACUCAGUCCAAGGUUAACGUGCUUCAAGCGAUGCACGCUGACCUCCAGUGGCCAACCCAUGUUACUGCACCAUAGUAGAGCAAUAUUCAAUUAUUCUGCAAAUCUGUUCCUGAUAUCCUGCUGCGCCACCCCCCCCCCUCCACACACACACACCAACACACUUAAUCUUUCUUCUUCUUUUCUUUAUCUCUCUUUGAAGAGUUCUCUACUGAACUUGCAAGUCCAUGUAAUGGCCUGAGGUGAAUCAGUCGUGUAUUUUAAUUAGUCUCUAUAUGAUAAGUUCCAAAAAAAACCUUCAUCAGGAUCUGCCUGCAAACAGAAUGACUGUAGACCACAUGUUGAAAUGGCACCUGACACUUGAGCUUUAUCAUCUGAGAAUUCCUUAAAACAGGCCGUUACUCUGCGUUUUAAAUUGAUAUUCGGAACCUUCUGGCAUUCAUUGCGUUGCACUCUGUUGCAGAUCCCCAAAAAAAGUUCAUGCGGUUAAUGACUGACUCUGGUCUCUUUCUUCAGAGGGCACUAACUAAGACUUAGAGGAUGUGAUGGAAUUCGUGCAAUAGUCGGGGUCGAGUUCAGCAUGUGAACAAUAAAGGGUGCUCUGAAGUAUUUGCAUAAGUGCACAUGACAAGUGAGCAGAUGUUCACAUUUUGUUGAAGAACCCAGCGACCAAACAUCACAGGCGGCCUGCAGCAGGAAGACUUUCUGGAAGGUAUGUGUUGCUGUUAAGACACUGUUAAAAAAAAUAAUCUUGCAAUGGGGCUAACGAUGCAUAACUUCAAGCGGUGUUUCAAGUUACAAAUUUGUAGGCUAGAAAAACAAGACCACCUCUUUG